ensembl:lncRNA
GGGAUGGGGAGGAGGAAGACAGCCCUCCGGACUGGAAGUUUGAAACCCUUUCUCCUGUUCCUGUCUUUAAAACACGAACUGGCAGGCUGGACUUCUUAUAUAACACUCCUUUAGUGACUGAAGCACUUGUCACAACCACCUUGGGGACCUAGGUUCAAUGCCCCCACUUUCAGGAAGUCAAGCUCUUUGCUCAGAUAGCACGUGGCUGAGCAGCGGCAGUAAAACCAGAGUCCCUAUUUCCACUCUUAGACCAGUGAGCCCUCCUGCACCCACGACGGAGACUGAGGAGGAGAAAAAUAACCAGCCAUGCAAAAUCCAAAAAAAAAAAAAAUCCUCUCAAGAUUAUGAAAUCAAAGAGCAUUUUGUUGUUUCUUGGACAUUCUUCUUACUACUCUGAGGCAGCGCAAUUCAACAGGCAUCUCUUUCUUGUUGUUAAAGUACUUGUUCUAUCUCCUGCCUCUUUUACCAACUUUCACAUCGACCGAGAACGCAAGCGUUUACCUGGGCUCCAUCCUUGGACGGCGAACUGGUCGCGCAGGCUUCCGGCCUCCUCCUCCCUGGGAUUUGGCUCCAAGGCUCCCGCAAAAUCUCGAAAUCCCCCCCAGAUCGGCGCGGCCACUGAGGGAAGCAGCCCGGCUCUGAACAAGCCCAGGCAAGCCCAGGCAGAGCCCGCUUCGCGGUCCUUCCUCCUGCGCGAACCACCCGGCCCCGGGGCGAGAGACGCGUCUCUCGGGCCGCAGAUCCGUGGAGUCGUCUCUCUCCAGAGGACCGGGCGCCGGCCCUCUCCUCCACCUGAGAAGGAAAAGGGUGCAGGUAGGGCGCGGAGGGGCGGGUGGGGGCGGCGCCAGCCCUCAGGAACGGGGCGGGAGCGCUGCAACCACCCGAGUCACGUCGGGGUGGGGUGUGCGCUAGGACAGAAGACCGGGGUGCCGCGGCAGGGCGCGCUGCCGGGGCACCGAGCGCGCUCCGCCUUGGAGCCGGUCCCCCAUAGGCACCGGGUCCCGGGCCCUCCACCGCUGCCGCCUGCGGGGACUGGUGCGUCCUCUGCGACAGCGCAAACAGCGCGGCGCCCCUCGUCUCCUCCCGGGGCGCGCUCCCGGAGCCGACGACCGGACUCCACGGCCAUCGCGACUCUUCCGGGAGCUUCUCGCCGCUCCGCGGCGGGACCGAAACCCAGGCAGGCCGAGGGGGGCCUGUCCCCGGAGGCACAGAUGAGGACGCGGCGAUGCGCCGGGCAGCCCGUGAGGAGCGCGCCUCCCUUUCCUCGCGGUUUCUACACUGCCCUGCGGACACAACUGAAGGACUAGGGUCUUCUUGGCCCCAUGAGACGCCUGCAUCUUGCACUGGGAGAAGAUGGUCCUUGGCGGGAAGUGGCUGCUGCCCCAAGCAUGUCAUCACACGCACACUGUGGGGAGCAAGUGAGGCCAGCUAGCCACCAAAAUGCCUUGACCUGGGCGGCUGACAGAUGAAGGAGUACAUUUGGGAGACUCCAGACUGCAGUAACUAGAGGACUUGAAAUAAGAUUUAUAUCCACUUUUCCAUUCAGAGAGGCCAAACCACAUUCAGGCCUCUCCCCCCCCCCUUAAUCAUGUAUGUAUAAGUGAGGACUGGUUUAUAAAGGCAUCUCCAUAUGUCAGUCUGUCUCACCGAGGGUGUUCAGCCCAUCUGUAUUUCCUGCAGAAUUCAUCCCAUACCCAGAUGCAGAUGUACACACACCCCUGACUAGCAAGCAAGGGCACUAUAGAGAAAGGGGGCUACAGAGGUAGCAUGCACAAGCUUCAAUUUAUGGCCCCCACCCAGACACAGCUUCAAAACAGUGCACUCAGGAGGCAUUCAUGUCUUAAAUUUAACCACAGAAGCCCAAGGAGUCCUACUUCCAAAUCAGCCUAUGAGAUUGAUCUUGUCCAAAAAUGUGAAUUAAAAAAAAAAAAAAGGCUAGCGACUUCCCUGGUGGUCCAGUGGCUAAGACUCCGUGCUGCCAAUGCAGGGGACCUGAGUUUAAUCCCUGAUCAGGGAACUAGAUCCUACAUGCUGAAACCAAAGAUCCUGCAUGCUGCAACUAAGAACCAACAAAGCCAAAUAAAUAAAUAUUUUAAAAAUUAAAAAAGGAUAGUGAUAUCCUAGGAUUACAUCAUACUGAUGGUUGCACAAUUUUGUGAAUCUAGUCUCCCUCCAUAUCUAAAUGUGGGACAGUUUCAGGGCCCUCUUAAGAUCCUCAAAUUUGAAGAUGCUCAUGGUGAAGAACCCGCCUACCAAUGCAGGAGACCUAAGAGACUCAGGUUCGAUCCCUGGGUUGGGAAGAUUUCCUAGAGAAGCAAAUGGCAACCCACUCCAGUAUUCUUGCUUAGACAAUCCCAUGGACAGAGGAGCCUGACAGGCUACAGUCCAUAGGGCCACAAAGAGUCAGACAUGACUAAAGUGACUUAGCACACACGCAAGUUCCUUACAUAAAAUAAGGUAAUAUUUUAUUUUAAUAUAAUCUAUGCACAGUCUCCUGUAUACUUUAAAUCAUCUCUAGAUCACUCAUAACACUUGAUACAAUAUAAAUACAAUGUAAAUAAGUAUAGCAUUGUGUUAGUCACUCAGUUGUGUCUGACUCUGGGUGAUUCCACUGACUGUAGCCUAGCUCCUCUGUUCAUGGAAUUCUCCAGGCAAAAAUACUGGAUUGGGUAGCCAUUUAAGUUUAAUGUAAAUGAUAUGUAAAUAGUUGCUGGCCAUUGGCAAAUUCAAGUUUUGCUUUUGGGGACUUUCUGGACAUAGUUUCUUUUAAUUUUUUCAGUCAACUGUCAGUUGAAUUCAUACAACUGAUAUGGAUACAAAACCCGUGGAUACAGAGGGGUGACUGUAUACUGGAGCCCACCAAACUGUACUUUUAAGUGGUGAAAUUUAUGGUAUGUAAGUUAUAUCUCAGUAGAAGGAAGAAAGGAGGGCACCAUUCUUUUUAGUGGCCCAAAAUAAAUGGCAUGAACCCAGCAGAUUUCUGAAAGUCCCAGAACUCUUUUUUUUUUUUUUAACUUCAGCACUUGAUAAAUGCUAACUCCCCUGACUCAGAAGAUUCCUUGGUGGUCUAGUAGUUAAGACUUUGUGUUCCACUGCAGGGGUUGUGGGUUCGAUACCUGGUUGGGGAACUGUGAUCCCAUAUGCCACAGGAAACAAUAAAAAGAAAUAAAUAAAUUGGGCCAAGAUACAAAAAAAAUCUAAUCCUGGUGUAGGUAACACAAGGGAGUCGGGCAUCCUGUGGCCAUUGUGCCUGGACCCUGGCAGGUCCUGACAAGUCCAAAGCAGCCUGUCUUUUAUGCCCUCAAAGACAACUGUGGUGACACGGGGUCUGAGACUGGACCCUGCAGAAGAAAGGGGGCUUGGUGGUGGGGAGGACUUGCCUAUUGCAACCCUGCAUCUGUGAAUGACAGAUGUUGCUGCCACAUUGAUAAACAAGGAUGCUGCAAUCUUCAAACCACCACAUUAUAGCCACCUAGACCAUAAGCCCUGAGGGAACUCAGGAUGGAGGCAGGAAGCACCCCCUCCCCAGCUAGAAGUCAGCCACUGCAGCCACCACCAGGGGGCACCCUGAGGAGACUCAGGAUGAGAAAACAUGGUAUUCUGGCCCCAGAAAGCUGAGGGCAUACCAAGGAAUGACAUCGGCAAGCCCAGACUUUUGCAUCUUUCCCAUGCAUAGACAUGCGCCAAAUUCUUAACUUGAGAUGUCUGGUGUUCUUUAACAGUAAGGUGGCUCAGUGGUAAAGAAUCCGACUGCCAGUGCAUGAGACGAGGAUUCAAUCCCUGGGUUGGGAAGAUCCCUGGAGGAAGGCAUGGCAACCCACUCCAGUAUUGCCUGGGGAAUUCCAUGGACAGAGGAGCCUGGCAGGCUACCGUCCACAGGGUUGCAAAAGAGUCGGACACGACUGAACAACUCAACAACAACAAUAGCAGCAAUAUUUUGACGUUCUGACUACUUGGUCUUUGUUGCAGAAACUCCUAUGUAUCCUGGCUCCUCGCUUGCCUCUUUGGAGCAGUCCCGCAGGGCUAUCUGAGAGGUUAUGUCCUGGGCUUAAGUUCUCAGAGUGUCCGCCAAAUAAAACAAAACUCUCAG